UUCUAGAAAAUCAUCUAACUUUGAUUCAAGAAUGGCCGGUGGGGGAGAAUCUGCAACUUUUUAAGCUAGGUUACAAGGUUACAGAACUAGAACAGGUCUGGCUCCAAAUUCCACGGGAUGUGGCUUCUCUGCUUUUCCUCUCCAGUCCUCCAGAGAUGAGACUUUCAUACUCCAAAUACAACCACUUCAGAGAGGAGGCACAGGCAGACUUCCCCACACCCAUUCUCUCCAAACAAGCAAUUGCCUAAAAGUCCUGUGCAACCUCAGACCUGGCUUGGACUGUGCUAGUAUCUGCAGGGAAUGAUGCUCUGAACUGGCAAGACAGAUAAAGGAAGAGGAAAAAAAUUACCAUGUGGGCAGAAUAUGAGCAACUGAUGUUGCGGGAGCUACCAAAUGGUGCCUAUAGUUUGACGAAUGGAUGUGGAGACAAAGCCCAGGUUUUCUGAAGCAUGUCAUGGGGAGUCCAUAACCUCAGCCAUCCCUUGCAAAGAUUCCUUCAGAUGUCUUCUCAAGUAGGUAUAAUCUUAACUAUGGCUGUUUUAUACAUGCUGUCCUUCUUGCAUCUAGUUUUUGGAGGAGAUGAGGGAACCUGCAUCCAGAUAUUUUCCUGGGUUAUUUCUUACUUAUUCUAGAUUACCUAUGCACAUUUUCUCUUGUGAUAAAGGGUGAGAAACACUAAGAGUCCCUACACAAUUUUAGUUUGAGGCUGCUUUCUGUCCAGCAGGUGGGUGAGGAAGUAUGAAGAAGUGUAUUUGAGACACUAGAAAAGGAAAGUGAUUCUGUCCUAUGGUCUUAGAAGUAGCGAAGGAAAAUUUAUUGUUUUUUCUGUUCACUUUGUAUUCUUUUUGCAAAACACCACAGAAUACCCUCAACGGAUUUGGAUCUAGUGACUUUGUCUUCUGUAAACAGUGCUGCCCCAGAGGAAUAAAGAUGCAUGUCUUGGUACUGA